GACGAACGCUGGCGGCGCGCUUAACACAUGCAAGUCGAACGGAAAGGCCUGCUUUCCCUUGUGGAUUGCGGGUACUCGAGUGGCGAACGGGUGAGUAACACGUGAGUGAUCUGCCCCCAACUUGGGUAUAAGCCUGGGAAACUGGGUCUAAUUCCCGAUAGGACUGCAGGGUGGUGCCUGUGGUGGAAAACGAUUUUCUAGUGGUUGGGGAUGAGCUCGCGGCCUAUCAGCUUGUUGGUGGGGUAAUGGCCUACCAAGGCGGCGACGGGUAGCCGGCCUGAGAGGGUGGACGGCCACAUUGGGACUGAGAUACGGCCCAGACUCCUACGGGAGGCAGCAGUGGGGAAUAUUGCCAAAUGGGCGGAAGCCUGAUGCAGCGACGCCGCGUGGGGGAUGACGGCCUUCGGGUUGUAAACUCCUUUCGACCGCGAGGAAGCCACCUGGUUGGAAGGGUGGUGACGUUAGUGGUAGAAGAAGCACCGGCUAACUACGUG
rnacentral:rRNA from 1 species